rnacentral:rRNA from 1 species
AGUGAACGCUGGCGGUAGGCCUAACACAUGCAAGUCGAACGGCAGCACAGUAAGAGCUUGCUCUUACGGGUGGCGAGUGGCGGGCGGGUGAGGAAUACAUCGGAAUCUACUUUUUCGUGGGGGAUAACGUAGGGAAACUUACGCUAAUACCGCAUACGGCCUACGGGUGAAAGCAGGGGAUCUUCGGACCUUGCGCGAUUGAAUGAGCCGAUAUCGGAUUAGCUAGUUGGCGGGGUAAAGGCCCACCAAGGCGACGAUCCGUAGCUGGUCUGAGAGGAUGAUCAGCCACACUGGAACUGAGACACGGUCCAGACUCCUACGGGAGGCAGCAGUGGGGAAUAUUGGACAAUGGGCGCAAGCCUGAUCCAGCCAUACCGCGUGGGUGAAGAAGGCCUUCGGGUUGUAAAGCCCUUUUGUUGGGAAAGAAAAGCAGCAGGUUAAUACCCCGCUGUUCUGACGGUACCCAAAGAAUAAGCACCGGCUAACUUCGUG